rnacentral:rRNA from 1 species
GAUGAACGCUGGCGGCGUGCCUAACACAUGCAAGUCGAACGGAGAUUACGGACGGAAGUUUUCGGAUGGAAGCCUGUAAUUCUUAGUGGCGGACGGGUGAGUAACGCGUGGGCAACCUGCCCUAUACAGGGGGAUAGCAGCUGGAAACGGCUGGUAAGACCGCAUAAGUCGGUUAAAUCGCAUGAUUUGAUCGGGAAAUGAGCAAUCAGGUAUAGGAUGGGCCCGCGUCCGAUUAGCCAGUUGGCAGGGUAAAAGCCUACCAAAGCGACGAUCGGUAGCCGGGCUGAGAGGUCGGACGGCCACAUUGGGACUGAGACACGGCCCAAACUCCUACGGGAGGGAGCAGUGGGGGAUAUUGCACAAUGGAGGAAACUCUGAUACAGCGACGCCGCGUGAGUGAAGAAGUAUUUCGGUAUGUAAAGCUCUAUCAGCAGGGAAGAUAAUGACGGUACCUGGCUAAGAAGCCCCGGCUAACUACGUG